rnacentral:rRNA from 1 species
GAUGAACGCUGGCGGCGUGCCUAAUACAUGCAAGUCGAGCGAACAGAUAAGGAGCUUGCUCCUUUGACGUUAGCGGCGGACGGGUGAGUAACACGUGGGUAACCUACCUAUAAGACUGGAAUAACUCCGGGAAACCGGGGCUAAUGCCGGAUAACAUGUUGAACCGCAUGGUUCUACAGUGAAAGGCGGCUUUGCUGUCACUUAUAGAUGGACCCGCGCCGUAUUAGCUAGUUGGUGAGGUAACGGCUCACCAAGGCAACGAUACGUAGCCGACCUGAGAGGGGGAGAGGCCACACGGGAAAUGAGACACGGACGAGACGACGAAGGGAGGCGGCAGUAGGGAAGAUUCAGAAAGGGGCGAAAGCCGGACGGAUAAACGACGAGUGAGUGAUGAAGGUCUAAGGAUCGGAAACCUCGGUGAUGAGGGAAGAACAGAUGGGCAAGGAACUGUGCACAUCUUGACGGGACCUAAUCAGAAAGCCACGGCUAACUACGUG